AGAAUCAACGCUGGCGGCGUGCCUAACACAUGCAAGUCGAACGAGAAAGUGGAGCAAUCCAUGAGUAAAGUGGCGACCGGGUGAGUAACACGUGACUAACCUACCUUCGAGUGGGGGAUAACCUCGGGAAACCGGGGCUAAUACCGCAUAAAAUCUUUGGAUCGGAAGAACUGGAGAUCAAUGGAGCAAUUCGCUUGAAGAGGGGGUCGCGGCUGAUUAGCUAGUUGGCGGGGUAAUGGCCCACCAAGGCUUUGAUCGGUAGCCGGCCUGAGAGGGCGCACGGCCACACUGGAACUGAAACACGGUCCAGACUCCUACGGGAGGCAGCAGUGGGGAAUUUUGCGCAAUGGGGGAAACCCUGACGCAGCAACGCCGCGUGGAGGAUGAAGUCCCUUGGGACGUAAACUCCUUUCGACCGGGACGAUUAUGACGGUACCGGUGGAAGAAGCCCCGGCUAACUUCGUGCCAGCAGCCGC
rnacentral:rRNA from 1 species